GAACAUAGAAAAUCAAGAAGAAAAUAGAGAAACAAAAGGAAGAACUCAAAAGAAGAGAUCUAUUUUAAGUGGGGUUUUAAGAUGGGAAUUUGGUUGUACGAAGUCAUGAAUUUUUCAGGGAAAACGGUAUUCUUGAAAUAUUCAUCGGACAACUGGUACUUAAACCAAAUCACAAAUAUCAUUGACAAAGUAACCGAAAAUUGGGACGACUCCUGGUACUUUUCCUAUGAUCGCCAAAAUAUACAAGUUAGAGCAUAUGAUGAUGGCGAUUGGGGAUUGAGGAUUGAGGUUACGAAAAAGGGUACGUCAAACACUUUAGGUGUGACAUGGAAAAUAAAAGAGAAUUACACCCGCUACAACUUUAUUUUUGGAGACGAUACAAUUUGGCUCUUCUCUCCAAAUUAUCCUCUGUCGAAAGAUGGGUAUGAGCAUCAAGGAUGGUAUUUACGAGUUAACAAAGAAUGGAAAUGGGAGCCUUAUGAUAUAGUUGCAUAAUAUUUAGGUACUCAAGCCAGUUCCAUCUGAUGUUUCUAAGUACCCCAUAGGUUUUUAUUUUGCAAUAAGUUUCUUCUCAGCAGGAAGAAAAUGCAUGGCUGUGCUCUGUGGCAGAAUUAUACUGCACCCGCUACUGUAAUAAUAUGCAUUAUUAAUUGUGUGGAUCUUCUUAGCAGUGCGC